rnacentral:rRNA from 1 species
AUUGAACGCUGGCGGCAUGCUUUACACAUGCAAGUCGAACGGUAACAGGCCGCAAGGUGCUGACGAGUGGCGAACGGGUGAGUAAUGCAUCGGAACGUGCCCAGUCGUGGGGGAUAACUACUCGAAAGAGUAGCUAAUACCGCAUACGAUCUAUGGAUGAAAGCGGGGGACCGUAAGGCCUCGCGCGAUUGGAGCGGCCGAUGUCAGAUUAGGUAGUUGGUGGGGUAAAGGCUCACCAAGCCAACGAUCUGUAGCUGGUCUGAGAGGACGACCAGCCACACUGGGACUGAGACACGGCCAAGACUCCUACGGGAGGCAGCAGUGGGGAAUUUUGGACAAUGGGCGCAAGCCUGAUCCAGCAAUGCCGCGUGCAGGAAGAAGGCCUUCGGGUUGUAAACUGCUUUUGUACGGAACGAAACGGCUCUGGUUAAUACCCGGGGCUAAUGACGGUACCGUAAGAAUAAGCACCGGCUAACUACGUG